GUGGAGAAAAGACAGACCUAGAAUAUGAUGCACACAUCUACUUUGUAGGCUGGAAGACGUGAAGUGCAUCAUAUUUUAGGUCCGUCUCUUCUCCAC